rnacentral:rRNA from 1 species
GCACUAAAAUAAGUUUAUUCAAACACUGAUUAAUAAUUUUUGUUUUACUUAUAAGUCCAUCUUCCAGUGUAUGUAAAUACAAAACCAUCUGAGGUAAAAAUUUACAUUGUAACUCGCUUAAAUCUUUAAUAUGGGCUGCACCUUGAUCUGUCCUUUGGUAUAUGUUUACUAAUAAAAUACAUUUUAAAAAUAUUUUUGACGACGGCAUACAAACUGUUAAUUAAAGAGGAUAUUUCUUGGUGGCUAUCAAUUACUUAGUAAGUUCCCCUGUUGAUUAUUUUAGCCGCCAUAAUUUUUGAGUUUAAUAUUUUUAUUUACUACUCAAAUUAUACUUGUUCCGAUAGAGAAUAGUAGGGUAUCUAAUCCUAGUUUAAAUAUUCUAUUUUAGUAGAAUGUAAAAGAAGAAAAAUAAUUUUUAAUAGUUUUUAUUUCACUAAGUAACUAUUACUUUUGCUUCUAAUAAAGGUAUAAUUUGUAUAUACUUACUUUCUGAUAAUGGUAUGACCGCGGUUGCUGGCACCAUAUUUACCUUAGAAAAUUUAUCUAUACUAGAUUUAUAUUUAUAUAAUUAAUCUAAUCUUUCCAACUGGCAUUACACUUAAGUUUCCAUAUUUGUAUACUAAUAAUAGUAAGUUUUGUUCUAUCAAAUUAAAGUAGAAUUUCUAAAAAGGAGUUUCCCUUUUUCGG